rnacentral:rRNA from 1 species
AUUGAACGCUGGCGGCAUGCCUUACACAUGCAAGUCGAACGGUAACAGGUCUUCGGAUGCUGACGAGUGGCGAACGGGUGAGUAAUACAUCGGAACGUGCCCGAUCGUGGGGGAUAACGAAGCGAAAGCUUUGCUAAUACCGCAUACGAUCUACGGAUGAAAGCAGGGGACCGCAAGGCCUUGCGCGAACGGAGCGGCCGAUGGCAGAUUAGGUAGUUGGUGGGAUAAAAGCUUACCAAGCCGACAAUCUGUAGCUGGUCUGAGAGGACGACCAGCCACACUGGGACUGAUACACGGCCCAGACUCCUACGGGAGGCUGCAGAUCUGAAUUUUGGAAUUGGGCGAAAGCCUGAUCCAGCCAUGCCGCGUGCCUGAUGAAGGCCUUCUGGUUGGAUACUGCUUUUGUACGGAACCAAAAGACUCUGGUUAAUACCUGGGGUCCAUGACGGUACCGUAAGAAUAAGCACCGGCUAACUACGUGCCAUCAGCCGCGGUAAUACGUACGGUGCAAGCGUGAAUCCGAAUUACUGGGCGUAAAGCGUGCGCAAGCGGUUAUAUAAGACAGAUGUGAAAUCCCCGGGGCUCAACCUGGUAACUGCAUUUGUGACUGUUUAGCUAGAGUACUGCACAGGGGGAUGGAAUUCCGCGUGUAGCUGUGAAAUGCGUAGAUAUUCACAGUACCCCGAUGGCUAAUGAAAUGCCUGGGGGCAGUCUGCACUCAUGCAUGAAGCGGGGGGGCUCCCACGCUUAAUAUACUCGUAGUUCAGGG